GCCGCGGUAGCUCAUUGGUAGAGCGCAGCUCUGAAAAAGCUGGCGUAGGGGGUUCGAUUCCCUCCCGCGGCA
rnacentral:tRNA from 1 species